UUUAGAUAGAAAGAGGAGAACGUGUUCCUGAUACACUCACUCACACAUAGAGAUGCAGCUUAGUUUACUCCGAUUGCAACCGUCAAACCCAUGCGUUGUUCUUUUUUCAACCCCCAACAACUUAACCGUACAACGCAAUCUCUUGUCUACCAAACACCGUACCGUUAAACCAUUUUGUUCUUUGACCCUUCAAUCACCCUCUGAUGACGCAUCAAUCCAACAAUCACAUCACACCUCAACCGUUGGAUCUUCAUCGCUUCAUCUCUCUCAUUGGAACCUCACCCACCGCCACCUCACUCUUCUCAAUUUCAUUGCCUGCGUGACAGCAAUAUGUACAACGUGCCUCUUUUGUUAUGCAAUUCCCACUCUCCUGGCUUUUAAGAGAGCGGCAGAGUCGUUGGAGAAGUUGAUGGAUACCGCACGGGAGGAACUUCCCGAUACUAUGGCCGCUAUUCGGUUAUCUGGAAUGGAAAUCAGUGACCUCACUACGGAACUCAGUGAUAUUGGGUUUGCAAAUUCUUCACUUCAAAUUACAUUCCUUAAUCCUUAAUACAAAGGCUCCCUUGACAAGUGGUGUAUUUAAUGUAUUGAGUCAUUGCUUUUAGUUUUUCAAUGAAGAAAACUUUACACUUUAUGGUUCCUUGGAGAAUGGAUAACAUAACCGAAGUUCGUCCUUCUCCUUAUUAGGAGAAACGAUAGCAAAGCAUUAGUUUUCUAAAGCGAGUUUAUCUCUAGUGUGAGCGAGUAAAUAACCCCUUAGGUUGGGAUCUCUGAGCACUUUAUUGAUCACGGAUAAAGACAGACCUUAGUGGAGGUUUAUCCAAAACAUGACGCUCUUUCUAUUAGUAAAUAAAUUUUAUGUGAACCAACUUCAUCACAUUGCUUUAUUCUCAAUUCUGUGGGUUUCGCAUGAUAUUUGUUAAAGAAUAGAGAAUAUGUUGAAGAAAGUAUUAAAAUAACUGCAUUGUCUGAUUACUGUAGUGUCUGAUGUUGUGCCUAUAAUGUUGAUGAUCUAAAUUAAAUGGCAUUAAAGCCCUGUUUUGCCUUCAAAAUUUUGCAGGCAAGAGAUUUCACAAGGUGUUAAAAGCUCCACUCGUGCGGUUCGCAUAGCAGAGGAGAGACUUCGUCACUUGACUACUAUGUCUCCUCCUUCUCCAGCAAAUGACGAGCUCGAGAGCUGAUGAGGCUGACCGAGGUGGUGGACCUGUGGUGGCCAAAACGGCAAGGGGCAUAAGAGAGGGCAUUGUCAAAGGUCGUUCAAUGUUGCAAAUGUUUUUCACCCUCAUCCGGUUUUCAAAGUUCGCUCUCAAUCAUAUCACUGGACCUAGAUAAAAGCUAGGGGUCAAACAAAUGCCUGAUAUUCAUUGUGAGCAACAUCAAUGUCCUUCUCUGUACGUUACUUUUUUUGCACAAUGUUUAGAGAUUUUGCAUUUAUGUGUUUGUAUUGCGAAAUGAAAGACUACUUUCCCCCCUUUUUGCUUGUGGCAUUAAUCUUCCCUUCUAUGGACGUUUUGGUUGUAUACUUGUGCCAUGUUUUCUAAUUACUCGUUGUCGGAGACAUUUACCUUGAUGCACCAAGGUCAAAUGUAAUAACAAUAAUGUUUAAGCAAUGUCUACAUCAUUUAAGAUGAGUUUAGAGGGAAAUAUUUCUUGCUCUUAACCUCAAACCUCCAUCAUGCAUUACUAGUUAACAUAACCAUGUUCAUAACUGUAAUUUAAAAUCUUGUCUAAUGUUACAUGUUCAA
rnacentral:lncRNA from 1 species